rnacentral:rRNA from 1 species
AACGAACGCUGGCGGCAGGCCUAACACAUGCAAGUCGAGCGCCCCAGCAAUGGGGAGCGGCAGACGGGUGAGUAACGCGUGGGUAUCUACCUAGUGGUGCGGAAUAGCCCAGGGAAACUUGGAGUAAUACCGCAUAAGCCCGAAAGGGGAAAGAUUUAUCGCCAUUAGAUGAGCCCGCGUUGGAUUAGCUAGUUGGUGGGGUAACGGCCCACCAAGGCGACGAUCCAUAGCUGGUCUGAGAGGAUGAUCAGCCACACUGGGACUGAGACACGGCCCAGACUCCUACGGGAGGCAGCAGUGGGGAAUAUUGGACAAUGGGCGCAAGCCUGAUCCAGCCAUGCCGCGUGCAGGAGAAGGCCUCGGUUGUAACUAGCUUUGUCUA